CGCACGCAGGCGGUCAAUUAAGUCAGAUGUGAAAGCCCCGAGCUUAACUUGGGAAUUGCAUCUGAAACUGGUUGGCUAGAGUCUUGUAGAGGGGGGUAGAAUUCCAUGUGUAGCGGUGAAAUGCGUAGAGAUGUGGAGGAAUACCGGUGGCGAAGGCGGCCCCCUGGACAAAGACUGACGCUCAGGUGCGAAAGCGUGGGGAGCAAACAGGAUUAGAUACCCUGGUAGUCCACGCUGUAAACGAUGUCGAUUUAGAGGUUGUGGUCUUGAACCGUGGCUUCUGGAGCUAACGCGUUAAAUCGACCGCCUGGGGAGUACGGCCGCAAGGUUAAAACUCAAAUGAAUUGACGGGGGCCCGCACAAGCGGUGGAGCAUGUGGUUUAAUUCGAUGCAACGCGAAGAACCUUACCUACUCUUGACAUCCAGCGAAUCCUUUAGAGAUAGAGGAGUGCCUUCGGGAACGCUGAGACAGGUGCUGCAUGGCUGU
rnacentral:rRNA from 1 species